rnacentral:rRNA from 1 species
GUGGGGAAUAUUGGACAAUGGGCGAAAGCCUGAUCCAGCAAUGCCGCGUGAGUGAUGAAGGCCUUAGGGUUGUAAAGCUCUUUUACCCGGGAUGAUAAUGACAGUACCGGGAGAAUAAGCCCCGGCUAACUCCGUGCCAGCAGCCGCGGUAAUACGGAGGGGGCUAGCGUUGUUCGGAAUUACUGGGCGUAAAGCGCACGUAGGCGGCUUUGUAAGUUAGAGGUGAAAGCCUGGAGCUCAACUCCAGAAUUGCCUUUAAGACUGCAUCGCUUGAAUCCAGGAGAGGUGAGUGGAAUUCCGAGUGUAGAGGUGAAAUUCGUAGAUAUUCGGAAGAACACCAGUGGCGAAGGCGGCUCACUGGACUGGUAUUGACGCUGAGGUGCGAAAGCGUGGGGAGCAA